rnacentral:rRNA from 1 species
GAUGAACGCUGGCGGCGUGCCUAAUACAUGCAAGUCGAGCGAACAGACGAGGAGCUUGCUCCUCUGACGUUAGCGGCGGACGGGUGAGUAACACGUGGAUAACCUACCUAUAAGACUGGGAUAACUUCGGGAAACCGGAGCUAAUACCGGAUAAUAUAUUGAACCGCAUGGUUCAAUAGUUAAAGACGGUUUUGCUGUCACUUAUAGAUGGAUCCGCGCCGCAUUAGCUAGUUGGUAAGGUAACGGCUUACCAAGGCAACGAUGCGUAGCCGACCUGAGAGGGUGAUCGGCCACACGGGAACUGAGACACGGUCCAGACUCCUACGGGAGGCAGCAGUAGGGAAUCUUCCGCAAUGGGCGAAAGCCUGACGGAGCAACGCCGCGUGAGUGAUGAAGGUCUUCGGAUCGUAAAACUCUGUUAUUAGGGAAGAACAAAUGUGUAAGUACCUAUGCACGUCUUGACGGUACCUAAUCAGAAAGCCACGGCUAACUACGUG